rnacentral:tRNA from 1 species
AAAAUUUUAGUUUAAUAAAAAUAUUUCAUUUACAAUGAAAAGAUUUAAAUAAAAUAAAAAUUUUA